rnacentral:rRNA from 1 species
CAGUCGCCGCGGGAAUACAGAGGGUGCGAGCGUUAAUCGGAUUUACUGGGCGUAAAGCGUGCGUAGGCGGCUUUUUAAGUCGGAUGUGAAAUCCCUGAGCUUAACUUAGGAAUUGCAUUCGAUACUGGGAAGCUAGAGUAUGGGAGAGGAUGGUAGAAUUCAAGGUGUAGCGGUGAAAUGCGUAGAGAUCUGGAGGAAUACCGAUGGCGAAGGCAGCCAUCUGGCCUAAUACUGACGCUGAGGUACGAAAGCAUGGGGAGCAAACAGGAUUAGAUACCCCCGUAGUCCCUGUCUCUUAUAC